rnacentral:rRNA from 1 species
CAUGUAGGCGGUUUGUCAAGUCUGAUGUGAAAGCCCGGGGCUCAACCCCGGAAGUGCAUUGGAAACUGGCAAACUUGAGUACGGGAGAGGAAAGUGGAAUUUCGAGUGUAGGGGUGAAAUCCGUAGAUAUUCGAAGGAACACCAGUGGCGAAGGCGGCUUUCUGGACCGAUACUGACGCUGAGAUGCGAAAGCGUGGGGAGCAAACAGGAUUAGAUACCCUGGUAGUCC